AAAGUACUAGCUAACACUAUUAAUUAAUUGUAUUGUCUUAAGAACAAGCGAUAGUGUGAUCAAGAUCGAGGCGUUUUUUAUAAACAUAUUUCCAACGAUAUGUAUCAGGAAGGAAGCGUUUCCGGUCAUAUACAGUACAUAAUGCUCUUAGAUUCCACUCCGUCCACUCCACUUUGCUGACGAAGGUGUGGAGAGUUUAUGGAUCACCCUUGAACGACAUAAUGUCUUUUAGUUUUAUUUUGUAGUUUUAUUUUAUUUUAACUUGUUUUAACUUCUUGUAGUUUUUAUUUCGAACAAUAAAUCACUUAUGUUUGUA